CUUGUUAUAAUCACAAGCAGUCACUAAUCAAAUUAUUGUCUUGCAUUUAGACACCAUGUUUUAGGGCCUCUAUAUGCAUUAGACACCAUGUACUUAGGGUCUUUCUUUUGCAACUGUUGAAUGCCUCACUAUCUUGCUAAACAAAAAAAAUAUAAGACUGGUUAACAAACUCCUCAUUAAAAACUGAACACCAUUGCAUGCUCACCAUUUUUAAUAACGCCUAAGCAAACCUU
rnacentral:lncRNA from 1 species